GACAGAGGAUGCAAGCGUUAUCCGGAAUGAUUGGGCGUAAAGCGUCUGUAGGUGGCUUUUUAAGUCUGCCGUCAAAUCCCAGGGCUUAACCCUGGACAGGCGGUGGAAACUACCAAGCUGGAGUACGGUAGGGGCAGGGGGAAUUUCCGGUGGAGCGGUGAAAUGCGUAGAGAUCGGAAAGAACACCAACGGCGAAAGCACUCUGCCGGGCCGACACUGACACUGAGAGACGAAAGCUAGGGGAGCGAAUGGG
rnacentral:rRNA from 1 species